rnacentral:tRNA from 1 species
ACUUGAAUAGCUUAUGUAAGAGCGCUACACUGAAGAUGUAGAUGAGAUUAAUAUUAAAUCUUUAAGUA